AGGGAUGUAGCUUGGUGGUAGAGCACCUGCUUUGCAUCCAGAAGGUCUCCGGUUCAAUCCCCAGCAACUCCA